UACAGAGGGGGCAAGCGUUGUUCGGAAUUACUGGGCGUAAAGGCGCGUAGGCGGCCACCGCAAGUCGACUGUGAAAUCUCCGGGCUUAACCCGGAAAGGUCAGCCGAUACUGCGGGGCUAGAGUGCAGAAGGGGCAACUGGAAUUCUCGGUGUAGCGGUGAAAUGCGUAGAUAUCGAGAGGAACACCUGCGGCGAAGGCGGGUUGCUGGGCUGACACUGACGCUGAUGCGCGAAAGCUAGGGGAGCGAACGGG
rnacentral:rRNA from 1 species